rnacentral:rRNA from 1 species
AGGAUAGAGGCCUACCAUGGUGGUAACGGGUAACGGGGUGUUAGGGCACGACACCGGAGAGGGAGCCUGAGAAACGGCUACCACAUCCAAGGAUGGCAGCAGGCGCGCAAAUUACCCAAUCCCGACACGGGGAGGUAGUGACAAUAAAUAACAAUACGGGGUUCUUUAGGAUCUCGUAAUUGGAAUGAGUACAAUUUAAAUCUCUUAACGAGGAACAAUUGGAGGGCAAGUCUGGUGCCAGCAGUCGCGGUAAUUCCAGCUCCAAUAGCGUAUAUUAAAGUUGUUGCAGUUAAAAAGCUCGUAGUUGAAUUUCGGGGUUAGUAGGUUGGUCAUGCCUCUGGUAUGUACUGGUCUCACUGAUUCCUCCUUCCUUAUGAACCGUAAUGCCAUUAAUUUGGUGUUGCGGGGAAUUUGGACUGUUACUUUGAAAAAAUUAGAGUGUUUAAAGCAAGCUAACGCUUGAAUACAUUAGCAUGGAAUAAUGAAAUAGGACGUUCGAUCUUAUUUUGUUGGUUUCUAGGAUUGACGUAAUGAUUAAUAGGGAUAGUUGGGGGCAUUAGUAUUCAAUUGUCAGAGGUGAAAUUCUUGGAUUUAUUGAAGACUAACUACUGCGAAAGCAUUUGCCAAGGAUGUAUUCAUUAAUCAAGAACGAAAGUUAGGGGAUCGAA